rnacentral:lncRNA from 1 species
ACUCCAUCAGGAGCGAUGGACACUUAUAGGGUCAGGUGUUUGAUUCCCACACAGGUUAGAAUCCCUGUAUGCAUUAAAAAAGGAUUAACAAAGCUUAUUUAAUAAAGCUAAAGUAAAACAGAGUCACACACACAUGAUAGAAUGCCCCGAUACAUCGGUGCUUCAGUGGCUCUAUGAUGUCAUAAGAAGGCCCAUUCCAAGGCAGCCCUAGCAACCAGCCUCAUGUUCCACUUGAGGCAGUUCAAGUUGGACGAGCAGAGAGAUUGGAUGAUAAUAAUUCAGCAUUGCUAAAUUAUUAUUGUGCGAGAAUGAAUUUCUUAGCAAGCCUGUGUUGCUGGCCCUGCAUCGCACCUCAGCGAUACCAGGCGAGUCCUGCAGCGGAGCAGGUCGACCCGACACGGCCCACAGAGGGCCAGGGUCUCUCCGUGGCUCUCUGCAGCGUCGACACGCUGAGCAUCAGCAGUGAGGACCACCGGGACCCUCCGGGCUCCGACCCCUCCACCCACUCAGACCCAGCUCCGCCCCCCGAGAGCAGGCUCCACCCCCAGAGGCCCAGGCCCCGCUGGGGGUGGCUGCGGCGUUUUGGCCUCCCCAAGCGAAAACAGGAGCAGAAGUUGACCGGAGGCGCUGCCCUGUUUGGUCAGCAGCUCAGUGAAGUCACUAGACCGACGGCCCCCCCCUCCGAGGUGGCCCAGGUCGGCCCAGCCACGGGCCAGGGCUCCAGACCGGCCCCCCCCACCGAGGCAGGGCAGAUCCAGGAGGAUAGAGCUGCUGCCCAGAGGGAGGCCCGGACCCCUUGGUUGGACAGUCAGUGUGACGGGGUGCAGGCCGGACCCUCCGUAGACGGGGCCCUCGUCCGGGGGCCGUUAUCCCAGUCUGGUGGCCUCCUCACCAGGCAGACCGCGCCCCCUCGCCUCACAGAGCAGCAGCUGGGCUUCCUGGGGUGAGUGCUGGAUGACGGGCUCAUACACACCAACCCUCAGUAGACAAACCAGUAGCAUC